UGAUCUGCCUACCAUGGUGAUAACGGGUAACGGGGAAUCAGGGUUCGAUUCCGGAGAGGGAGCCUGAGAAACGGCUACCACAUCCAAGGAAGGCAGCAGGCGCGAAAAUUACCCACUCCCGGCACGGGGAGGUAGUGACGAAAAAUACGAAUACGGGACUCAAUCGAGGCUCCGUAAUUCGAAUGAGUGCAAUCUAAAUCCUUGAACGAGGACCAAUUGGAGGGCAAGUCCGGUGCCAGCAGCCGCGGUAACUCCAGCUCCAAAAGCGUAUAUUAAAGUUGCUGCAGUUAAAAAGCUCGUAGUUGGAUCUGGGUCGUGCGUUCACAUGUCGUUGUUUGGUUCUGGCUUCGGUCGGUUUCGAACGAUGAUGAGGUGGUCGCGCAGCCUUUCUGCCGUGUCUGCGUGAGCAGGUGUUGGCUGGCCGGUGGGCUUGCUUGCUGGUCAGUUGGCAUGUUUCCUGAUGCCUUUAAACGGGUGUCGGGGGCGUACGGCACUUUUACUUUGAACAAAUUUGAGUGCUCAAAGCAGGCCCAUGUGCCUGAAAAGUCUUGCAUGGAAUAAUGGAAUAGGACUUCGGUUCUAUUUUGUUGGUUUCCGGAUCCGAAGUAAUGGUUAAGAGGAACAGACGGGGGCAUUUGUAUGGUGGCGUGAGAGGUGAAAUUCUAUGAUCGUCGCCAGACAAACUACAGCGAAAGCAUUUGCCAAGAAUGUUUUCAUUGAUCAGGAGCGAAAGUCAGAGUUUCGAAGACGAUCAGAUACCGUCCUAGUUCUGACCAUAAACGAUGCCAACUGACG
rnacentral:rRNA from 1 species